GGGGUUGUGGCUCAGUGGUAGAGCCCUUGCCUAGCAUGUGUGAGGCCCUGGGUUCAAUUCCCAGUACCA
rnacentral:tRNA from 1 species